AACGAACGCUGGCGGCAGGCUUAACACAUGCAAGUCGAACGCCCCGCAAGGGGAGUGGCCGGCGGGUGAGUAGCGCGUGGGAACAUACCCUUUUCUACGGAAUAGCUCUGGGAAACUGGAAUUAAUACCGUAUACGCCCUACGGGGGAAAGAUUUAUCGGGGAAGGAUUGGCCCGCGUUGGAUUAGCUAGUUGGUGGGGUAAAGGCCUACCAAGGCGACGAUCCAUAGCUGGUCUGAGAGGAUGAUCAGCCACAUUGGGACUGAGACACGGCCCAAACUCCUACGGGAGGCAGCAGUGGGGAAUAUUGGACAAUGGGCGCAAGCCUGAUCCAGCCAUGCCGCGUGAGUGAUGAAGGCCUUAGGGUUGUAAAGCUCUUUCACCGAUGAAGAUAAUGACGGUAGUCGGAGAAGAAGCCCCGGCUAACUUCGUG
rnacentral:rRNA from 1 species